rnacentral:misc_RNA from 1 species
GUACUCUCACACUCCCGAUCAUUUGGUUAGGAGCGGUGGACUUGGGUGUUGCUGCUUGACCGUGGCUCACCUUAAAUGCAGUAGUGCAACUUUCGGUUGGACAUAGUACGGCGUGAUAAGUGUCUUCGCCGGCACCUCCUCACAGAGGGUGGCCGAUCGGGAGCUCUGUGCUUCCAACCGUCUUCCGACAACAACUGACA